CCAAACUCACUCCGCAGAGUUUCUCCCCAACUCUUCACUUCUUUUUUAACUCUUCGCUUUUACUUUCUGCAGUAAAUUUGGCCAUUGCUUUUUGCUCAUUUUGUUCAAGUCUUUGUUUGAGACAAGAAGAACCUGGAAUCUAACUCCAGACGGAGAGGCAAGCAACCCAGAACCCAGUAACAUUUAGUUGGCGAGCCACUUUUAGAAGCAAGCUACCGGAUAACAGGUUUGCUGACUCCCGUCACGGAAAAAGAACUUUCAGGACUUGCCUCAUAAAGCUUAUAAGCAAAGAAAAUCUUCCCUUUCCAGGAAGCAAAGUCUGGUAGACAUAGGGAUUGUCAAGAUCUCAAGAUGCCCCCCUUCCCACCCCCAUGGUCAGUUCUGUGCACACAUCUCUCACAGCAGAGAACAGGGAAGGGCCAGCAGGGGUAGGGGCUGCUUUUGUUCACCAAGCCCCAUUUCAUCCAGAAUGCCAAUGCAUAUGGAGCUCCAGAGUUCUGGAACUAGGCGAACAUACAAGUGGAGGCUUCAGCUAGCCUCAGAUGGAAGAUGGAGGCAGGAAGGACAUCAGAGCCCAGGAGGGCAACUGGAGCCACAGGCUGCCUCUCUCCCAGCAGCUCUACGAAGUUCUGGCUGAAAAGUUAUCCCAGACAACUACAUGUGAUGUGGAAG
rnacentral:lncRNA from 1 species